rnacentral:rRNA from 1 species
GAUGAACGCUGGCGGCGUGCCUAAUACAUGCAAGUCGAGCGAACAGACGAGGAGCUUGCUCCUCUGACGUUAGCGGCGGACGGGUGAGUAACACGUGGAUAACCUACCUAUAAGACUGGGAUAACUUCGGGAAACCGGAGCUAAUACCGGAUAAUAUAUUGAACCGCAUGGUUCAAUAGUGAAAGACGGUUUUGCUGUCACUUAUAGAUGGAUCCGCGCCGCAUUAGCUAGUUGGUAAGGUAACGGCUUACCAAGGCAACGAUGCGUAGCCGACCUGAGAGCGUGAACGGCCACACUGGAACUGAGACACGGUCCAGACUCCUGCGGGAGGCAGCGGUAGGGAAUCUUCCGCAAGGGGCGAAAGCCUGACGGAGCAACGCCGCGUGAGUGAUGAAGGUCUUCGGAUCGUAAAACUCUGUUAUUAGGGAAGAACUAAUGUGUAAGUAACUAUGCACGUCUUGACGGUACCUAAUCAGAAAGCCACGGCUAACUACGUG